rnacentral:lncRNA from 1 species
GGCAGUUUGCUUGGGUUGAACUGCUGCCCCUGCAUAUCUGAGCACCACAGGGCUUUUUCCACAUUAAAAUGGAAGAUCUGUCUGCAGAGAUGUGAGCACAGCAGACAGGAGCAGAUACCUCUGUGGUCUACAACAAGGAAGUUUUGAAAUAAGGUCUCACCUGCAGACUUGUGAAGCCAGCAGAAAUGCACUGCAGGAAGGAUUCCAGUUUUACAGUGCCUGAGCCACCAGUGGAUGUUCCAGAGAAGCUAUUUGUCCUGAGUGCAGCAGUGAGCAGUGAGGGUCUGAGUCAUGUGGACCAUGAACAGGCUCCUGGGACCUGCUUGAAUCCUGAACAUGGCAACCUUUUAAACAAGAAAAGAUUUUGGGCCUCUGAGAAGCCAAAAGGUGAUACAAGUGCAGAAAAUGAACCAGAAGAAAGCAUCAGAAAUGAGAAAAAAAAACAAACCUGUGUGACUCAGAUAUAACUUGGG